AAAAUCACACAAGUGUGGCAAGUGCGGCAGGAGGGUCGAAGUCUCGGCAGAGGACUGACUGACCCCAAGAAGAGCCGGCAGGGAAGGAGACCCCCGGGCAGAGACGCCCUGCUGCGGGCUCCUACCGCGGCGGGUCCCGCAGAGCGCACCUCUGGAGGUGCGAGGACGCGGAGCUGGGCGCUGGCAGGAGUUGCGCGCUUUUCAGGGAGUCCCUUUAGGGGAGACCGCGCGUGCUCUGACGACCCCUCUGCCGCGCAGGUCCCCUUCUCACGCGUGUUUCGGGAGCGGCUGCAGCGGGUCCCAGACGGAGACGCGGAGAGGGUCGGAGGGCUGAACUCAGCCCCAUCGUGCAGCUGGCCUGCGGGCCGCACCCGGCGCUCUCAGCGGCCACCCCUGCAGUUCGCAUCAGAAUUUAUGUUACACCGGAAAGUCGCUGUUGAGGGAAUCCAACAUCCGGUCAUCUGUCAGCAGAGGCCUCUUCAGUCACAGAACACAUGAAGUCUGCCGUUUCAGCCCUGGUGCCUGACUGUGGACGCUGUGAGAUUAGAAAGCUUCCACGUACCAUUGGAUUCAUUACCAAGAGCCGACAGAGCUUCUCUGAGCAGAUAAAUGAAAUAUAAUUCCUGGUCCCGCAGGAGACAGCUCGUGUCUCUCUGGGUGUUGUAGAUGUGGAGUUUCAUGUCAAAUUUUCUGUAUAACUUGCCUUUUUGCUAAUUCUCUAUUACAACAUAGUUCCCCAAAUUGCGGUUAUAUUUCAACCAAUAUUUUCAAAAAUCAAGCACUAUAGCAAAAUGUCUCUUUAAAUUUUCCUUAUCAUAAUGACAAGAACUAUGCCCUCAGAGGCCACUUUGGUGCCAAAGUUUAAAGACUGAUUCACUCACACCUCUCAUUGCAGUUGUAGCCAUUGUGCUCCCUGGGCCUUUCAUAAAAUGCUGAGAAGAAUAGAAUUGACACCUCUGAGAGAUGCUGGCUUUUUUUUUUUUUUCCUAGUGCUUAUAGGAAUUUUUAGAAAAAACGAGUCUUUAUUAAAUGGUUUUCUCUCUUUUGGGGGGGGCACGACUUCACAGAACUGAAACUUGAAUAUCUAACAAGAUAUUCAACAUGUCUUCUUUAUAAUGGUUUUCUCUCUUUUGGGGGGGGCACGACUUCACAGAACUGAAACUUGAAUAUCUAACAAGCAAACAUGUCUUCUUUGGGGAAUUCAGACUGUGGCAAAAACAUGUAUUUCUUUCAUUUAAGACGGGAUCUAAUUUUGUUGCUGGCCUCAAAUUCCUGGCUCCGCAGUUCUUCUGCGCCAGUCGCCUGCAAAGCUGGGACUGUUGGUGAUCAUCUACAUGAGUGCACCCUGUAGGUCAUGUGUACACCAUGCCUGGCGCUCAACCACACACUUCAGGGAAAACUUAUGUUCAAGGUGCAGAAAAGAAUGUUAUGUCCACACAUUUGGAAUCCUGUUCUACCCAUGGAAUAGUUUAUUAAACCAUGAGUCAUAGCCUGACUCUGUGGAACAAGUUCCACUACUUCUAGGCUACACCUAGAUCUUCUCUCUGGUUUUCAAGCUGGCUAGUUAGCACAGACACUUCCAUCAUUAACAAGGGUUAAAGAAAUUGGCAGUUUGGUAUUUUUUAGAUGUCUCACUGGACUGAAUGUGACAAUCAUUAAAUAGAACACAAUGCAUCUUAUGCCUUGGAUGAUGUCAGAGAUACAAAAUAUUAGACUUCCCUAGUAAGAUUACUGACAUUUAGAAAUGAGAAGAAAGGAGCUAAAGGUGUAGGGAAGGUGGGAUGGGUAGGGGAAGGGUAAAAAGGGAAAAGAAAAAAAUGUGAGAUAAUGAAAAGAUGAAAAUAAAGUGUUUGUAGAUGGGGAGGGGAGGAGGGGGUGAAGGGAGGGCAGGGACAAGGGGAAAAAUGAGAAUCAAGACUUGUCAUGUAGAUGUACAAGAUCCCAACAAUGAAUGUAACUGUACUGUAUCCCUAAAGUGUACCAAUAAACUCAAUUAAAGCUGAAAAAAAAAAGAAAAACAAAGCAACAAUGAAGUUUUAAAGAAAAGUGAGAAAUAAAUGACAAAUACAGGAAAAAAAAAACAAACUAUUAGACUUCUACAUUUUUUAAACUCUUCCCAGCCAC
rnacentral:lncRNA from 1 species